AGCGAACGCUGGCGGCAGGCCUAACACAUGCAAGUCGAACGGAUCCUUCGGGAUUAGUGGCGGACGGGUGAGUAACACGUGGGAACGUGCCCUUUGGUUCGGAACAACUCAGGGAAACUUGAGCUAAUACCGGAUGUGCCCUUCGGGGGAAAGAUUUAUCGCCAUUGGAGCGGCCCGCGUCUGAUUAGCUAGGUGGUGAGGUAAAGGCUCACCAAGGCGACGAUCAGUAGCUGGUCUGAGAGGAUGAUCAGCCACAUUGGGACUGAGACACGGCCCAACAGCCUACAGGAGGCAGCAGUGGGGAAUCUUGCGCAAUGGGCGAAAGCCUAGCGCAGCCAAGCCGCGUGCAUGAUGAAGGUCUUAGGAUUGUAAAAUUCUUUCACCGGGGACGAUAAUGACGGUACCCGGAGAAGAAGCCCCGGCUAAGUUCGUGCCAGCCGCCGCGGUAA
rnacentral:rRNA from 1 species